GCAAGUCGAACGGAAACGAUGGAAGCUUGCUUCCAGGCGUCGAGUGGCGGACGGGUGAGGAAUACUUAGGAAUCUGCCCAUUAGUGGGGGACAACUCCGGGAAACCGGAGCUAAUACCGCAUACGCCCUACGGGGGAAAGCAGGGGAUCUUUCGGGACCUUGCGCUAUUGGAUGAGCCUAAGUCAGAUUAGCUUGUUGGUGGGGUAAUGGCCUACCAAGGCAACGAUCUGUAGCUGGUCUGAGAGGAUGAUC
rnacentral:rRNA from 1 species